rnacentral:rRNA from 1 species
ACGGUGGGGGGGGUGCUAUACAUGCAAGUAGAACGCUGAAGAGAGGAGCUUGCUCUUCUUGGAUGAGUUGCGAACGGGUGAGUAACGCGUAGGUAACCUGCCUUGUAGCGGGGGAUAACUAUUGGAAACGAUAGCUAAUACCGCAUAACAAUGGAUGACACAUGUCAUUUAUUUGAAAGGGGCAAUUGCUCCACUACAAGAUGGACCUGCGUUGUAUUAGCUAGUAGGUGAGGUAACGGCUCACCUAGGCGACGAUACAUAGCCGACCUGAGAGGGUGAUCGGCCACACUGGGACUGAGACACGGCCCAGACUCCUACGGGAGGCAGCAGUAGGGAAUCUUCGGCAAUGGGGGCAACCCUGACCGAGCAACGCCGCGUGAGUGAAGAAGGUUUUCGGAUCGUAAAGCUCUGUUGUAAGUCAAGAACGAGUGUGAGAGUGGAAAGUUCACACUGUGACGGUAGCUUACCAGAAAGGGACGGCUAACUACGUGCCAGCAGCCGCGGUAAUACGUAGGUCCCGAGCGUUGUCCGGAUUUAUUGGGCGUAAAGCGAGCGCAGGCGGUUUGAUAAGUCUGAAGUUAAAGGCUGUGGCUCAACCAUAGUUCGCUUUGGAAACUGUCAAACUUGAGUGCAGAAGGGGAGAGUGGAAUUCCAUGUGUAGCGGUGAAAUGCGUAGAUAUAUGGAGGAACACCGGUGGCGAAAGCGGCUCUCUGGUCUGUAACUGACGCUGAGGCUCGAAAGCGUGGGGAGCGAACAGGAUUAGAUACCCUGGUAGUCCACGCCGUAAACGAUGAGUGCUAGGUGUUGGAUCCUUUCCGGGAUUCAGUGCCGCAGCUAACGCAUUAAGCACUCCGCCUGGGGAGUACGACCGCAAGGUUGAAACUCAAAGGAAUUGACGGGGGCCCGCACAAGCGGUGGAGCAUGUGGUUUAAUUCGAAGCAACGCGAAGAACCUUACCAGGUCUUGACAUCCCGAUGCUAUUUCUAGAGAUAGAAAGUUACUUCGGUACAUCGGUGACAGGUGGUGCAUGGUUGUCGUCAGCUCGUGUCGUGAGAUGUUGGGUUAAGUCCCGCAACGAGCGCAACCCCUAUUGUUAGUUGCCAUCAUUCAGUUGGGCACUCUAGCGAGACUGCCGGUAAUAAACCGGAGGAAGGUGGGGAUGACGUCAAAUCAUCAUGCCCCUUAUGACCUGGGCUACACACGUGCUACAAUGGUUGGUACAACGAGUUGCGAGUCGGUGACGGCAAGCUAAUCUCUUAAAGCCAAUCUCAGUUCGGAUUGUAGGCUGCAACUCGCCUACAUGAAGUCGGAAUCGCUAGUAAUCGCGGAUCAGCACGCCGCGGUGAAUACGUUCCCGGGCCUUGUACACACCGCCCGUCACACCACGAGAGUUUGUAACACCCGAAGUCGGUGAGGUAACCUUUUGGAGCCAGCCGCCUUAAAGUUGGAUUAAGU